UAAACAUCUAUUGCUGCUUCAUUCCAGACACCUACUUCUUUGGGGUCAAUGCUAGAACUGUGUUGGAAGGGAACACGAACAGUUGAUCUGGGGAAUGGCAUCACAAGAAAGUUUUUACAGGAUGGAGACGAGGUCAUCUUUCGUGGCUAUUGUGAAACAGAAGGCUACAGGCUUGGCUUUGGUACUUGCACAGGAAAAAUUCUACCAGCACUUCAGCUUCAAUUUUAAAAAGAACAACAGCCAUGGUCAGUUUUAUCUCUACAUUAGUCAAUUUUGUAAUGAGAUUUUUUACUUUUUUUUAAGCUUAAUAAACAUUAUACUUUUUUUUAAAAUUAUGUUGAAAAAAGAGUCUUUUGUUAACACACCCUCAUACAGUCAUUGUAAAAACAAAUUUUUUAAGUGCUUAAGAAAGAGGUCCAGCUAUAAAAAAUGGAACUCUGCCUGCCACAAUAUGGGGCUUGUUUCUUGUUGAGUGGAACUGUGCAUUUUGUUAUUUUUUAAUUCAGUCCACUCUUUGCUAUGUU
rnacentral:sRNA from 1 species